AGCUAGCUAGCACCCUCAGCACUGACCAGAUAGAUUAAUCAGAUUACUACACACUUUGCACAUACCGUAAAUAUAACUUUAACUCCUAUUUGACGUUAAAUGUAUAGCGAGAAGUACAAUUUUUUAACCGAUAUAACGGUUUCACCCCCGGCGUGUAAAAUAGUGAUGCAACAAUUUCUUAUGCUCACCCAUCUCCAGAUUCAAGGCGCGACAUCGGGAGAGUCGCCAAAAUAAAAUAAGUCGCUUUUAAAGUUCUAUAAAGAAUGCUUAAUAUCACGAUAAAGCUUGAUCUAUAAAAUAUACGAAAUUCCAAAAAUUUGAAAUUUAACAAUGCAAGAUUUAGUUUUUUGUAAAGUGGCAAGCGUUUAAAUUUGAAACCUUAGCCUACGCAGAUAUGAAAUUAUUAAGGUUUAAAAACCUCGACAUCGUCUUUGCUUUGUAGGAGGGGUAUUGCCGGGUCUAGUCCGAAAUUCAUCUUCAUAACGUCACAGAACACGGAGAAGAAUAUAAAGGCAUCUACGAAAUAAUUGAUGGUGUACCCAAUGGAACGAUCCUUUGCAUUGUGAAUGCUGAUAAGCGAUUGAAUGACUAGCAAAAUCCCAGCUGCCACCUGCAUGAGAAGAGUACAUGUUCUAGGGUGUCUUUGCAUGCGGAUCGAGGAGUCUGAGCGGCUGUGACGAGUACUCAAUGCCAAACCCAGAAAUGAUUACAUUCAGAACGGAUAUCACGAAUAUCACCACCAAGAUGAUAUCGUUCAAGAUGAUCGCCGCCGUCUGAUCUUUCUGCCGGUUAAUGUUGAGACCGCCGAUGGCCACAAACAGAAUUCCAACCAAAAGCUGUCAAAAUGGAUAUUGAGAUUUGUUAAAAUCAAGCAAACGAAUCUAAGGAUCUUUAUGGGGCCCCCCCACACUAAUUCACGUUAUUCAGAAGGUCGCCUUGUGGCGGGGGCAGACGACUAUCGAAGGCCGAGAUAAAGAGAUUUAGCAUCGUUGUGAAAAACGCGAAUGCAGUGCGAACGUGAUUGAUAACAUUAGCCGAUUGGUGAAACUCUGGCUGGUGGAGUCGGCAGUCGCGCAACAAACUCAGCGACAGGCUUAGCACACCCGACAGUAUCUGGGGACAUGUGAAGAACGAGGCCGUUACUACCCCAUGCCAAGCAGGAUAGGCAAAACUCACCUGCAUCACGAUCGACAGACUGAUCAGUAUCAGCAUCAGCUUGUAAAACUGAUGCUGUUCCCCCACCUGCAGGAUGUACUUCAACUGGGAGGCAUUGGCAGUUAGCAGUGCUAUAUCCAGCAUGCCCUGGGCGAUCGUCUUCUUUGUCGCAUACCGAUUGGCAUCCAUGGCUUUCAUCUGAAAUAAUAAUGGAAAGUUUACUAUCAUUAGAUCAGCAAGUACAUAUAUGUAUAAAUUACUUAAAAUGUGGAACAUGAACGAUAGAUACAUUGUCGAAGAACGAUACCAUUUUGUCAGACCAAGUGCUGAGUUAAGAGUGACGACUGAUUCUGGUAGAUCGAUUCAAUAGUUAGACGUUAUCUGUGCGAGUCUUGUGCGCUGAUAACACAGAACAUCAUCUACUCAAUAUAAUUAACCAAAGGGGGAACAACAUUGGGAGCAAGGAUGAUUUAGUUGAAACUCAAAAGUUAAUUCUGAAUUACCUGCCAUGCAUUCUUAACGGGUUGCUGCAAUAGAAAAAGGCGUACACUAUACUACAAAUAACAUACAAAUGAUGGUAAGGAUAGCAUCUAUAAUUGUCAUUGGUGUUUAAAUAAGAAAAUCAAUAUGGGAACAAACAGCAGACGGAAGUUUGAAAAGUUUUUCGCACGGCUCGUCAGUCAGUCAGUUUAGAGUUUAAGGUGCAUGAGGCAAACGAGUUGCGUACAUAUCAUAUUUAAUUGCAGCACGAAUGGCAACAGUCAGAACAAAGACAACAACAACAGCAGCA